GGUAGCGAUCUCACCGACACCUCCCUGUGUCACGAUUCCCCUUAGUAGUCUGUGCUGCAGUCACUAAGCAUGACCACUAGAUGGCGGGAGAGGACUGAGUUGAGGUUAUGGCGGCGGCUCCUUUCUCCCUGCAGGGUGGGAGGAACGCUGUUGUCUCUUUUUCUUCCUGCCCCUUUGUUUGACUUCACCAUUCUCUGUUUCCUUUUCGCUCCGCUGUAGUUACGUGACUCACCUUUCAUUCAGUACCUCCCUUCAAGGAAAGCCCUGUCUCCUGUCCUUGGACUGGGAUCACACAGAGUUCUUGGGAUGACCCUGGCUCUCCCGCGCCAGCCGCUCUGCUGCCAAGCGCAAGCAUUCGCUCCCAGAUGCUUCGCCCAGUUCUUUGCAAAUGUCAUCCAAUCAGUGUCCAGGUGUUCACGGCUCAUCACUGGCUUACUGCUCUGGUCUACAUAGCUUGGGACAUUGCUGUUUAUGCAGGUAUAAAAAAAAAAAAAGAAAAACAAAAGAAAGAAGGAACGGCAGCAUCACAGAAUGUGAAUCAGAAUAUUAGUCUGUGGUACUGGGAGAGAAAAAGAAGAUUCCCCAGAGAGGAUGAAGACCAAACAGACUGCAGACCUGCCAUCUCUCUACACUGCACUUGGAUUGGCCAUUUGCUGUAUGCACCCGGGAAAAAAAUUCAGAGGACCAUGCUGUUGUGAUAGCUGACCUAAAGACAUUCUGGAGAGCACAUGAGUUUGAUUUUUACAAAUGACUUAAUAAUCUGGGGGACCAAGCCAGGGCUGCAGAGUCUGGAAGAGCCCCCGCCAGCGGUGAGCAGAGGAGGAGGAGACCCAGAGUCAGGGGUGGUAGAGGAACGGGGUUUCCCAGGCCUCUUUUCACAGCAAUUAGAGGUCUGUGUUCUCCUUGAGGCAGGGGCGUAACUCCCACAAGUGUUAAUGAGAUUUAACGAAGAGAAAGGGAGACUCCAGAGCUGCAUUUCCAGUCGGGGCUUCCACAGCAGCAGAAGAGGACAGAGUUCUGCUGCUUCCAGCCGGACCUGGCAGAGAGUCCUGGAAGCCUGGACCUUAGCAUGUUACCUUCAUCAGCAAUUCCACACUCCAGCCGGCAUCGUAAGUCCCCAACCUGUGGUCGCCUAGCCCCUUCUACGAACCUUGUGAAGAGAAGCUGCCUGUGCCUUGGGCUAGAAAGUUCUCUCGCACUCUAUCCAGUGCUUAAGCUCGCCUGCCUAGGUUUACAUCCCAGCUCUGCUGAGUUUCCAGCUAAGCCUAGUUUCCUCCUCCAAAAAAUGGAGAUAAUAAAUGGCACCUACUUCACUUGCGGAUCUAAUGAAAGUCAAGAGCUUAGCACAAUGUUUGACCAUAUAAAGUACCUCUGAGUGAUGAUGAUGAUGAAUUUGGGCCUAGAAUUGACAUCUUAGUCAUAUGAGGCAGAACCUAGUUCUAAGGAAACACACCUCAGUGCCAUGAUAGAAACAUUUCAUCAUGAAAACCUAAGCAGUUGUGCAAUGAAAAUCCCUGUCAUUUACAACAAUUCCCCCACCCCCCACGUACUUGGGAUAAAUUAGAACCAGGAUGGGCCAAGUUUCUCGUCUCGCCUCCUCUUUUCCUCAGUGGCAACCGUGUGAUUUAUGGCUCUGACGGGAGAGCCAACCAAACUCAGUUGUUUCAGCUGAUUGUCCCCGUGAGUUUUCAGGUUGAUGUGAAAUCCAAUGGGGUGUGAACUGAAACCCAAGAUCUCCUGAAAGCCCCAUGCACUAAGCUCAGUAAGGGACCAAACCAAACCAAACCAAAGCUCCCUCCCUCUUGCCUGGCACUCCUGGAGCUCACAAAAAGCCUGCCACUUGUGAGCCUGUGUGCCUGGAAGGGUCUGCUGCACCUGGCUGGGGGCCCCUGGGCCAUUGUUUUCCUGGCAGCAGCAAGGAGGCAGGUCUUCGGCUCACUCCUGGAGCUGGCCCCACACCAGCGACCUCAGAAACCAGGCAGGCUUUCAUCCUGGGGUCUCCUAGGGGUUGGUUACACAGAGAGAGUGAGGCUUUGUUGGAAGACUCUCAGAGGCCUGGCCAGGUUUUCCUCUCACAGCCAAGAAGCAGGUUCUAGUUCUUUCCAAACCCUUGAUACCUUCUAAACUGAAAAGCGGCUGCCCACUCAGAAUUUGGGCUAGGCCAUGGAGAUGCUAAAAACCUUAUCUUUUAAAAGGGAAUUGUUACUGUCUCUCUGAAAAGACUGCAGGGUUUCUAGGAGAUUCUGAAAUGAUGUAUACAGCUAGAGUCUAAAAAGGUGGAAGGAGAGGUUUCUGGGUAGGGGGUUAAAAGUGUAAGCUCUGGAGGCAGGCAGACCUGGGAGCAAGUCCCAGCUCAUACUCUUCAUAGCUGAGUGACCUUGAGAAAGUCACUCAAUCCCUCUGAGGUUCUCUUUGUUCUUUUGCUCCCUGCUCACUCUUCAUCUUACCCUGUCUAGCCCAACGUUUUUGGUAGUUCAUGUUCCAGUCAGAAGAAAAGACCAGUGAGAACUGGGAUUUAUAAUAAUUACAAUCAUCAAAAUUAACUGAGUACAGUGCUCAGCAAUUUAUAUCAAUUUCAUGUAAUCCUGAGAACCCUUUUAUAAGGUAGGCAUUGCACUGAUUCACAUUUUACCAGUGAGGAAAUAGAAGUUUAGGAAGGUUGCCAAAAACUUAGAAUGACCUUUCUAAAAUAUGUCUGGUUCUAUUAGUCUUUGGUUUAAAAUCUUACCAUGGAUUUAUCUUCAGGAUAAAAUAAAAUUCUUUAACACAGAAAAAAGGACCCUUCCAUGCUGUGAGCCUUCAGGAUUCAGUGGUUAACCAGUAUCAUCUUUCUAACUUCCUGACCUGCAAGUCUCCCUCUGACCACACUGAGCUUUCACCCUUCCCUAGCUGACUGAGGUGUUCUUGCACCUCCAAGAAUCUGCACACAAUCUUUUCUUCUUCCUUCAUAUCCUUCUGGAUCUGGCUAACUCUGACUAUCCUUCAAGACAUGGUUGGGUAUCGCUUUGUCUGGAGAAUAACCUGUAUGCCCCCAAAGAUGGGGAUAAACACCCUUUCUAGAUGAUCUGGUAGUUUCUGAGUCUGCUUCUAACAAGGUUAACUCCAAAUUCCUCAGCCCAAGACUGAAGGGAACUCCUUUCACUCCUUUUACCCUGGACUCUCACCCGUGCAGCUCUCUGGCAGCCGGAAGUCCAAGAUGCCCAUGGACUCUUAGCAAGCCAUUCACAGUCUUCAUUUAGGGAAUUUUAGUAGAGUCUGCUGAAUUUGUCUUAAAUAGGCUGACUACAAUGAUUUUUUAAAAUGUAUACAAUCAUGCACUGCAUAACAACUUUUCAGUCAACAACAGAUCAAAUAUAUGAUGGUGAUCCCAGGACCUGAAAAUAUCCUAUUGCCUGGUGACAUUAUAGCCAUCAGCAUGUGGUAGAGCAACACAUUACUCACUUGUUUGCCAGUUGUAAAAAAGAAUAGCACAUACAAUUACAUACAGUACGUAAUACUUGAUAAUAAUAAAUGACGAUGUUACUGGUUUGUAUAUUUACUGUACUAUAUUUUUCACAGUUAUUUUAGGGUGUACUCCUAUUUAUUAAAAAAAAUGUUAACUAUAAAAAGCCUCAGGCAGGUUCUUCAGGAGGUGUUCCAGAAGAAGGCAUUGUUAUCAUAGGAGGUGACAGCUCCAUGCAUGUUAUUUUCCCUGAAGAACUUCCAGUGGGACAGAUGUAGAGGUGGAAGACAAUUAUACUGAUGCUCCUGACCCUGUGUAGGCUAAUGUACAUGUUUGUGUCUUGGUUUCUAACAAAAAAGUCUAAAAAGCAAAAAAUAUUAAAAAUUUUAAACAGAAAAAAGG
ensembl:lncRNA novel transcript